CCAAAUUGCGAUAAGGAAGAAAGAAAAGAAGGAGAACGACGAAGAAGAAGAAGAGGGAGAAGGAGCGGGACAUCGGCCUUCAAUGGCAAACGGGAGGUACGUCCGUCUGAGGCAUGGCGAAGCUAACCGGAGGCAGAGGAGGCACCGGCAAGUGCAGCGGCAAUGGCGGCAUCAGCUGCGAGCGGCAAGGGGCGGCGAAAAUGGAGAAGAAGGCAGCAGCUUCUCCGACGCCGUUGUUGGCGUUUUCGGCGAUCAAUGGCGGCGGUUUCGGUCUUAAAAUGAUCGGCGACUUGAGAGCUUGGGGGCAACAGCAUCGGCAAUGGUGGCCAGAGAAUAGAGUUCCAGCGAAAGAGAGGCAGCCGAGUUUUUGGACUUUUCCAGCCAUCUUCGGCGAGUUAUGGCUUAUCGGAGUUCAUGAAUGAAUUCCCUUUGUCUCAAGCUUUCCAAUGGCACUAAUUUUGCAGCGAUCGAACUCCAUUUGAAAAUCGACGGUUGAAAUUGUCCGUGAUUUUCUCCGGAUGAUCGGGGACUGGAUCGGAGAAUCAGAUGCUAGAAUCAUCAUCUGUGCGUUGUCUCGAGUCUGUAGGCAUGCUCGAAUCAUCGAUCGGACUCUGGCGGCUGAAGGCGAGUCGGCUGAUUUAUCAAGCGUCUCAGUAAUUCUUUAGCCUGUUGAUUUUAAAGAGUGUUAAUUAAAAGUUUAUUUGAUUAAUUAUUGUGUUUUUUUAUGAUGGAUGUGAUGGAG
rnacentral:lncRNA from 1 species